rnacentral:tRNA from 1 species
GCCCUCGUAGCUCAGCGGUAGAGCAUCCGCCUCGUAAGCGGAAGGUCGCGGGGUCAGCACCCGCCGAGGGCUCCA